AUGCACCGAAGCUGCGGCAGCGAACGUAUCACCCAAGACAACUUUACGGAGUUGACGAUUGACGGAGCGAAGCGACGUCAAAGCGUUCAUUAAAGUCGAGUUGGCUUAGGGAUACGUUCGUUGGGUAGGGGAGCGUUCUGUAAGCCUGUGAAGGUGUGUCGUGAGGCAUGCUGGAGGUAUCAGAAGUGCGAAUGCUGACAUAAGUAACGAUAAAGCGGGUGAAAAGCCCGCUCGCCGGAAGACCAAGGGUUCCUGUCCAACGUUAAUCGGGGCAGGGUGAGUCGACCCCUAAGGCGAGGCCGAAAGGCGUAGUCGAUGGGAAACGGGUUAAUAUUCCCGUACUUGGUGUUACUGCGAAGGGGGGACGGAGAAGGCUAUGUUGGCCGGGCGACGGUUGUCCCGGUUUAAGCGUGUAGGUGUGUGUUCCAGGUAAAUCCGGUUCACUUUAACACUGAGGCGUGACGAC
rnacentral:rRNA from 1 species